rnacentral:tRNA from 1 species
GCCUUCGUGGUGUAACGGUAGCACACUCGGCGCGUAUUCGAGAGGUCUAGGUUAGAGUCCCCGUGAGGGUA